rnacentral:rRNA from 1 species
UACGUAGGUGGCAAGCGUUGUCCGGAAUUACUGGGUGUAAAGCGCGUGUAGGCGGCAGGCCAAGUCUGCGGUGAAAGCGCCCGGCUCAACUGGGCGAGGUCCGUGGAAACUGGUCAGCUGGAGGACGGUAGAGGCGAGUGGAAUUCCCGGUGUAGUGGUGAAAUGCGUAGAGAUCGGGAGGAACACCUGUGGCGAAGGCGGCUCGCUGGGCCGGUCCUGACGCUGAGACGCGAAAGCGUGGGGAGCGAACAGG